rnacentral:rRNA from 1 species
CCCUUAGAUGUCCUGGGCCGCACGCGCGCUACACUGAUGCAUUCAACGAGUUCUACCUUGGCCGAGAGGCCUGGGCAAUCUUUUGAACCUGCAUCGUGAUAGGGAUAGAUUAUUGCAAUUAUUAAUCUUGAACGAGGAAUUCCUAGUAAACGCAGAUCAUCAAUCUGCAUUGAUUACGUCCCUGCCCUUUGUACACACCGCCCGUCGCACCUACCGAUUGAAUGGUCCGGUGAAGCCUCCGGAUUGGCGCGCACCUCGGUGCCGCCGAGAAGUUGGCUAAACCUUACCAUUUAGAGGAAGGUGAAGUCGUAACA